UAGGGAAUAUUGGGCAAUGGACGCAAGUCUGACCCAGCCAUGCCGCGUGCAGGAUGACGGCCCUAGUGGUUGUAAACUGCUUUUGUACGGGAAAAAACCCCUGGUCGUGCAUCAGGGCUGAUGGUACCGUAAGAAUAAGGAUCGGCUAACUCCGUGCCAGCAGCCGCGGUAAUACGGAGGAUCCAAGCGUUAUCCGGAUUCAUUGGGUUUAAAGGGUGCGCAGGCGGGAUAAUAAGUUAGUGGUAAAAGCCUACGGCUUAACUGUAGAAUUGCCAUUAAUACUGUUAUUCUUGAGUAUAGUUGAAGUGGCGGAAUGUGUCAUGUAGCGGUGAAAUGCUUAGAUAUGACACAGAACACCGAUAACGAAGGUAGCUCACUAAGCUGUAACUGACGCUCAGGC
rnacentral:rRNA from 1 species